GGGGCCCGCACAAGCGGUGGAGCAUGUGGUUUAAUUCGACGCAACGCGAAGAACCUUACCAGGGCUCGACAUCCCCUGACCGCGUAUGAAAGUACGUUUUCACCUCGGGUGACAGGGAGACAGGUGGUGCAUGGUUGUCGUCAGCUCGUGUCGUGAGAUGUUGGGUUAAGUCCCGCAACGAGCGCAACCCCUACGUUUAGUUGCUAACGCGUGAAGGCGAGCACUCUAGACGAACUGCCGUUGACAAACGGAGGAAGUGGGGAUGACGUCAAAUCAUCAUGCCCCUUAUGUUCUGGGCUACACACGUGCUACAAUGGCCGGUACAGACGGACGCAAAGCCGCGAGGUGGAGCAAAUCCUAAAAAGCCGGUCUCAGUUCGGAUUGCAGGCUGCAAUUCGCCUGCAUGAAGUCGGAAUCGCUAGUAAUCGCAGGUCAGCAUACUGCGGUGAAUACGUUCCCGGGCCUU
rnacentral:rRNA from 1 species